GAUGAACGCUGGCGGCGUGCCUAAUACAUGCAAGCCGAGCGAACAGACGAGGAGCUUGCUCCUCUGACGUUAGCGGCGGACGGGUGAGUAACACGUGGAUAACCUACCUAUAAGACUGGGAUAACUUCGGGAAACCGGAGCUAAUACCGGAUAAUAUAUUGAAUCGCAUGGUUCAAUAGUGAAAGACGGUUUUGCUGUCACUUAUAGAUGGAUCCGCGCCGCAUUAGCUAGUUGGUAAGGUAACGGCUUACCAAGGCAACGAUGCGUAGCCGACCUGAGAGGGUGAUCGCCCACACUGGAACUGAGACACGGUCCAGACUCCUUCUGGAGGCGACAUUAGGCAUUUUUCCGCAAUGUGCUAAAGCCUGACGUAGCAACGCCUCGUGAGUUAUGAUGGUCUUCGGAUCGUAAAACUCUGUUAUUAGGGAAGAACAAAUGUGUAAGUAACUAUGCACGUCUUGACGGUACCUUAUCAGAAAGCCACGGCUAACUACUUG
rnacentral:rRNA from 1 species